GGGGGUGCACUGGUUUCGACGGGGAGUGUUAGAUUUAAACAGCAUGCCGAGGAUAUCGGUUGGCCUCGUAAAUAAUCCGAUAAAACAAUAAUCGCUAACGAUUAUUCUUAUGCAAUGGCUGCCUAAUUAAAGGUGGUCGACACGGCUUCUGGUUAGCGUUCGCUGAAAAUCGUGUAAAAGCCUGAACGCUGGUUCGGCAGGAUGUACAGAUUGCCGGACGAGAUUAACCUGUACUGGUUUUCUGUAAAGCCUGUCUGUCGGCGGUGCAGGAAACAAGAUUAAACGACUGACUAAGCAUGUAGCCGGUUUAUUUUGAAUGCUCUUCGGACAGGAGUUCAAUUCUCCUCACCUCCACCA
rnacentral:tmRNA from 1 species